rnacentral:rRNA from 1 species
AACGAACGCUGGCGGCAUGCCUAACACAUGCAAGUCGAACGCCCCGCAAGGGGAGUGGUGAACGGGUGAGUAACGCGUGGGAACCUACCCAGCAGUUGGGGAUAACCGCGGGAAACUACGGCUAAUACCGAAUACGUCCUAAGGGAGAAAGAUUUAUCGCUGUUGGAGGGGCCCGCGUCGGAUUAGCUAGUUGGUGAGGUAACGGCUCACCAAGGCGACGAUCCGUAGCUGGUCUGAGAGGAUGAUCAGCCACACUGGGACUUAGACACGGCCCAGACUCCUACGGGAGGCAGCAGUGGGGAAUAUUGGACAAUGGGGGCAACCCUGAUCCAGCAAUGCCGCGUGAGUGAUGAAGGCCUUAGGGUUGUAAAGCUCUUUUACCGGGGACGAUGAUGACGGUACCCGGAGAAUAAGCCCCGGCUAACUUCGUGCCAGCCGCCGCUGUAACAC